rnacentral:sRNA from 1 species
GCUAGGUGUGGUGGCACACACCUGUAAUCUCAGCAACUCAGGAAGCUGAGGCAGGAGGAUCAUAAGUUUGAGGCCAGCCUUAGCAACUUGGUGAGACCUUGAUUCAA